rfam:Gemella haemolysans ATCC 10379 ctg1119035638554, whole genome shotgun sequence.
AAUCUUUUUAAGGUAGUCCAGAGAGGCUAACAAGGGAUUGAAUUUAAAGUUUAUACUUUAUUUGAGUAUAGCUAUAUUUAGGUAUAACUAUGCCCAGAUAAUAACUUGAAUUUAAUAGUUGAUGAACAGUCAUACCUUGUAGCCAGAUGGAUACAAGGUAUUUUUUUAU